rnacentral:rRNA from 1 species
GACGAACGCUGGCGGCGUGCUUAACACAUGCAAGUCGAACGGAGUGGCGAACGGGCGAGUAACACGUGGGUGACCUGCCCUGCACUUCGGGGUAAGCCUGGGAAACUGGGUCUAAUACCGGAUAGUGGGGGAUGGGCCCGCGGCCUAUCAGCUUGUUGGGGGGGUAAUGGCCGACCAAGGCGGCGACGGGUAGCCGGCCUGAUAGGGUGGACGGGCCCAUGGGGACUGAGGUACGGCCCAGACUCGUACGGGAGGCAGCAGGGGGGAAUAUUGAACAAUGGGCGGAAGCCUGAUGCAGCGACGCUGCGUGGGGGAUGACGGCCUUCGGGUUGUAAACUCCUUUCACCAUCGACGCGGUAGAUGGAGAAGAAGCACCGGCUAACUACGUGCCAGCAGCCGCGGUAAUUC